GACGAACGCUGGCGGCGUGCUUAACACAUGCAAGUCGAACGGAAAGGCCCUGCUUUUGUGGGGUGCUCGAGUGGCGAACGGGUGAGUAACACGUGAGUAACCUGCCCUUGACUUUGGGAUAACUUCAGGAAACUGGGGCUAAUACCGGAUAGGAGCUCCUGCUGCAUGGUGGGGGUUGGAAAGUUUCGGCGGUUGGGGAUGGACUCGCGGCUUAUCAGCUUGUUGGUGGGGUAGUGGCUUACCAAGGCUUUGACGGGUAGCCGGCCUGAGAGGGUGACCGGCCACAUUGGGACUGAGAUACGGCCCAGACUCCUACGGGAGGCAGCAGUGGGGAAUAUUGCACAAUGGGCGGAAGCCUGAUGCAGCAACGCCGCGUGCGGGAUGACGGCCUUCGGGUUGUAAACCGCUUUCGCCUGUGACGAAGCGUGAGUGACGGUAAUGGGUAAAGAAGCACCGGCUAACUACGUGCCAGCAGCCGCGGUGGUACGUAGGGUGCGAGCGUUGUCCGGAUUUAUUGGGCGUAAAGGGCUCGUAGGUGGUUGAUCGCGUCGGAAGUGUAAUCUUGGGGCUUAACCCUGAGCGUGCUUUCGAUACGGGUUGACUUGAGGAAGGUAGGGGAGAAUGGAAUUCCUGGUGGAGCGGUGGAAUGCGCAGAUAUCAGGAGGAACACCAGUGGCGAAGGCGGUUCUCUGGGCCUUUCCUGACGCUGAGGAGCGAAAGCGUGGGGAGCGAACAGGCUUAGAUACCCUGGUAGUCCACGCUGUAAACGGUGGGUACUAGGUGUGGGGUCCACUCCACGGGUUCCGUGCCGUAGCUAACGCUUUAAGUACCCCGCCUGGGGAGUACGGCCGCAAGGCUAAAACUCAAAGGAAUUGACGGGGCCCCGCACAAGCGGCGGAGCAUGCGGAUUAAUUCGAUGCAACGCGUAGAACCUUACCUGGGUUUGACAUGGAUCGGGAGUGCUCAGAGAUGGGUGUGCCUCUUUUGGGGUCGGUUCACAGGUGGUGCAUGGCUGUCGUCAGCUCGUGUCGUGAGAUGUUGGGUUAAGUCCCGCAACGAGCGCAACCCUUGUUCACUGUUGCCAGCACGUUAUGGUGGGGACUCAGUGGAGACCGCCGGGGUCAACUCGGAGGAAGGUGGGGAUGACGUCAAGUCAUCAUGCCCCUUAUGUCCAGGGCUUCACGCAUGCUACAAUGGCUGGUACAGAGAGUGGCGAGCCUGUGAGGGUGAGCGAAUCUCGGAAAGCCGGUCUCAGUUCGGAUUGGGGUCUGCAACUCGACCUCAUGAAGUCGGAGUCGCUAGUAAUCGCAGAUCAGCAACGCUGCGGUGAAUACGUUCCCGGG
rnacentral:rRNA from 1 species